rnacentral:rRNA from 1 species
UACGUAGGCAGCGAGCGUUGUUCGGAGUUACUGGGCGUAAAGAGUGCGUAGGCGGUGUUCCAAGUCUGUUGUGAAAUCUCCCGGCUCAACUGGGAGGGUGCGGCGGAAACUGGGACGCUGGAGUACGGGAGAGGUAAGCGGAAUUCCUGGUGUAGCGGUGAAAUGCGUAGAUAUCAGGAGGAACACCUGCGGUGUAGACGGCUUACUGGACCGUAACUGACGCUGAGGAGCGAAAGCCAGGGGAGCAAACGGG